rnacentral:rRNA from 1 species
UACGAAGGGGGCAAGCGUUGUCCGGAAUCAUUGGGCGUAAAGCGCGUGUAGGCGGCCCGGUAAGUCCGCUGUGAAAGUCCAGGGCUCAACCCUGGAAUGCCGGUGGAUACUGUCGGGCUAGAGUCCGGAAGAGGCGAGUGGAAUUCCCGGUGUAGCGGUGAAAUGCGCAGAUAUCGGGAGGAACACCAAUGGCGAAGGCAGCUCGCUGGGACGGUACUGACGCUGAGACGCGAAAGCGUGGGGAGCAAACAGG